GUGCUCGCUUGAGCAGCAUAUACACUAAAAUUGGAAUGACACAAAGAAGAUUAGCAUGGCCCCUGGAAGGAUGACACGCAAAUUUAUGAAGCGUUCCAUAUUAAA
rnacentral:snRNA from 1 species